rnacentral:rRNA from 1 species
CACGUAGGGUGCGAGCGUUGUCCGGAAUUAUUGGGCGUAAAGAGCUCGUAGGCGGCCCGGUAAGUCCGCUGUGAAAGUCCAGGGCUCAACCCUGGAAUGCCGGUGGAAACUGUCGGGCUAGAGUCCGGAAGAGGCGAGUGGAAUUCCUGGUGUAGCGGUGGAAUGCGCAGAUAUCAGGAGGAACACCGAUGGCGAAGGCAGCUCGCUGGGACGGUACUGACGCUGAGGCGCGAAAGCGUGGGGAGCGAACAGG